rnacentral:lncRNA from 1 species
GUCCGGCUUCGGGAGGCAGCCAAAAGUCUAGGCAGGGGGAGGGAGCUGUAGCAGGAUUUUUCUCCCCUCCACCCCUAAGAAGACUGGGGCCUUGAAGCACACAGAAAGAAGCUCCUCUGUGUCAAGAUGGCGGCGGGCAAUUCUGCAUUUUGCAUUUUGGAUGUGCAUCCCAAGUGACACUCUGCGAAUGCUGUUUUGGGAGAAACGUGGUUCUGGACUCGAUAAGCUGGAGAAACACUGAAUUUGACAAGGUCAGCAAGGCUCCUCUCUUGCAGGACUUCUUAGAGCCUUUCAUUGUUAAUAGGCACUUUGAUCUAUUAAGAAGGGGCUCUGGUGUUUUUUUCAUGCUUUUUUAAUACUGGUGCUACUUUUCUUCACGAACUCUUUUCGGGGACAAGUGGGACAUCGUCUGGGCCCUGCAGGUUUUGAGGACACCUCAGGAUUCUUGGACUUGAAAUGUCAAGUCACCCAGCAGAGGUGGUGACCGUGGGUAAAGAUGCUUCCUUUUCAUAUCGAGUGGCAGAUCACCUUCUUAACUCUUGAUGAACUUGGCCACGGGAAUCAAGCCAGUGUGGAAAUCUGGCCUCACGAUCUGCCCCCUCUUCCUGGCACGGAGUGGAGAGGAGCUGCUGAAUGGGCAGAACCAGGAGGUCCCAUAUUCCUGAUGCUACAUCCUGUUGACCUGCUGGACCCCUUCCUCCCAUCAGCACACGGGCUCCUCCUUGCCUCUGCCUGGGCCCCAGGCCCUCUGGUUGGGCAUUUUGCAGGGAAUGUUGUCUUAGCGCCCACGUCUUCUCGGAGAGAGACCAGCUGGUCAGUCCUUCCUGUUCCGGGACACCAGCUCUUCUGGACACCAGCCAGGCAAGAAGGAACCCUUCUCCCCAAGACUGGGGAUAAGACCAGGCCUCUUGAAACGCUUUCACUCACUUGCUCACUCACUGAAUCACUUACAAAUUCUAUCAGCAUUUGCGGGACUUCAGCAAGGUCACACUCUAAGUCAGCGGUUCUCUAAGGUGAGUAGGCAGGGCUUCUUAAGAAACGGAUUGCUGAUCUCGUAGGUCUGGGGUGGGUGGCCGUUCUAAUAAGUUUCCAGGUGAUAAUGAUGCUGUGGGUCUGGGGACCACACUUGGGGAGGGCGUGGCCAAGCCAUGAUCAGCUAUCAAAGCUCACCUGCAGAUGAGUUUAUCAGGCCAUUGAAACCAGAAGCUUCUUCCCACAAGGAGGGCUGGACGGAGUGAGACUGGAGAACAACCUGGGCCUGAGCUGGGAGAGGGGAGACAAACUGUAAGACAGACAGAAGCCUGGUAAGCUGGUCGGGGGCGCAGAGGGUGAGUCUGUUUCCUUCUCUGGCUGGGCCCGCCCUGGAGGCCAGGGUCCCGGGCAGGAGGGAGGCAAGCAGGCCCAGGAAGCCUGGGGCCAGGCUGAGCAGAGGCUGCGAUUCGCUGUGGACCCAAUGCACCUGACCCUGGGGUCUGGGAACGAUGGCUGGACCGGCGCUGCCUGGCCAGCUGCCUGGCACAUCUCCGUCCUCCCUCCCAGCCCCGAUCUCCCUGAGCUCUCCUCGCUCGCUGGCUCUCCAGCGGGCCCAUCCUGUCCGCUGGACCCCGGACAGCACAUUCCUUCGUGCUGAUCUUUUCCCAGCGGCUGCAAGUGCACGUUCUCACAGUGAGGCGAGAAGGGAGGCCAGGGCCUGGGGUGGUGCGGAAGGGGGCUCUGGCGGGCCUCCCCGGGGCCCUGGAC